UGUGGGAGCGGGCUUGCUCGCGAAGGCGUAGUGUCAGGUUGAUCCAUGUCACUGACACGCCGCUUUCGCGAGCAAGCCCGCUCCCACA
rnacentral:misc_RNA from 1 species